AGUGUGUUGAGGGAAGUGGUUAUACCGAUAUGAAUUUAUUACUAACAUCAUCUUCAGAAGGAAUUUCUAUAUAAAUAAUAACCCU